UACGUAGGGAGCGAGCGUUGUCCGGAAUCACUGGGCGUAAAGGGCGCGUAGGCGGCAUUGCAAGUUGCAUGUGAAAUACCAUGGCUCAACCAUGGGGUGUCAUGCAAAACUGUAAAGCUUGAGUGCAGUAGAGGAAAGCGGAAUUCCUGGUGUAGCGGUAAAAUGCGUAGAGAUCUAGGAGAAACACCGGUGGCGAAGGCGGCUUUCUGGGCUGUAACUGACGCUGAGGCGCGAAAGCGUGGGGAGCGAACAGGAUUA
rnacentral:rRNA from 1 species